rnacentral:rRNA from 1 species
UACGAAGGGGGCUAGCGUUGCUCGGAAUCACUGGGCGUAAAGGGUGCGUAGGCGGGUCUUUAAGUCAGGGGUGAAAUCCUGGAGCUCAACUCCAGAACUGCCUUUGAUACUGAAGAUCUUGAGUCCGGGAGAGGUGAGUGGAACUGCGAGUGUAGAGGUGAAAUUCGUAGAUAUUCGCAAGAACACCAGUGGCGAAGGCGGCUCACUGGCCCGGUACUGACGCUGAGGUGCGAAAGCUAGGGGAGCAAACGGG